GAUGAACGCUGGCGGCGUGCCUAAUACAUGCAAGUCGAGCGAAUGGAUUAAGAGCUUGCUCUUAUGAAGUUAGCGGCGGACGGGUGAGUAACACGUGGGUAACCUGCCCAUAAGACUGGGAUAACUCCGGGAAACCGGGGCUAAUACCGGAUAACAUUUUGAACCGCAUGGUUCGAAAUUGAAAGGCGGCUUCGGCUGUCACUUAUGGAUGGACCCGCGUCGCAUUAGCUAGUUGGUGAGGUAACGGCUCACUAAGGCAACGAUGCGUAGCCGACGUGGGAGGGUGAUCGGCCACACUGGGACUGGGACACGGCCCGGACUCCUACGGGAGGCAGCAGUAGGGAAUCUUCCGCAAUGGACGAAAGUCUGACGGAGCAACGCCGCGUGAGUGAUGAAGGCUUUCGGGUCGUAAAACUCUGUUGUUAGGGAAGAACAAGUGCUAGUUGAAUAAGCUGGCACCUUGACGGUACCUAACCAGAAAGCCACGGCUAACUACGUGCCAGCCGCCGCAGUAA
rnacentral:rRNA from 1 species